AGGUGGAAUUACCAGAAGUUCAAGAGAAGAAAGAUGUUGUUCUAUCAUCAGUUGUGGAUAGACCAUGUUUUCCUGAAGAUCAGUUGUCUGAAGAAGGGAACAAUAAAAGUGAUGAUAACGGAAAGAACAAAAUACUGUUUCAAUCAGAAGAUGAAAUGAAAGAAAAUAAAGAUGAAACUUUAAUUGAAAAAGAUGUACUGAAGCAAGAUGGUGAAGUUCAAUCAACUGAGAAAGAGCCUACUGAAGAACCUAAACCACCUGCUGAGGAGGAUGAUAUGCCACCAUUUGAUGAAUGGAAAAAAAAGAAAAUGGCUGAGAUGGAGCAAGACAGAAAACAGGGUGG